rnacentral:rRNA from 1 species
AACGAACGCUGGCGGCAGGCCUAACACAUGCAAGUCGAGCGCCCUUUCGGGGGAGCGGCGGACGGGUGAGUAACGCGUGGGAAUAUGCCCUUCUCUACGGAAUAGCCUCGGGAAACUGAGAGUAAUACCGUAUACGCCCUACGGGGGAAAGAUUUAUCGGGGAAGGAUUAGCCCGCGUUGGAUUAGGUAGUUGGUGGGGUAAUGGCCUACCAAGCCGACGAUCCAUAGCUGGUUUGAGAGGAUGAUCAGCCACACUGGGACUGAGACACGGCCCAGACUCCUACGGGAGGCAGCAGUGGGGAAUCUUAGACAAUGGGGGCAACCCUGAUCUAGCCAUGCCGCGUGAGUGAUGAAGGCCUUAGGGUUGUAAAGCUCUUUCAGCUGGGAAGAUAAUGACGGUACCAGCAGAG